rnacentral:rRNA from 1 species
UACGGAAGGCAGCAGUGGGGAAUAUUGCACAAUGGACGCAAGCCUGAUGCAGCCAUGCCGCGUGUAUGAAAAAGGCCUUCGGGUUGUAAAGUACUUUCAGUCGUGAGGAAGGUGUUAAGGUUAAUAACCUUAGCAAUUGACGUUAGCGACAGAAGAAGCACCGGCUAACUCCGUGCCAGCAGCCGCGGUAAUACGGAGGGUGCGAGCGUUAAUCGGAAUUACUGGGCGUAAAGGGCACGCAGGCGGUUAAUUAAGUUGGAUGUGAAAUCCCCGGGCUUAACCUGGGAAUGGCAUUCAAGCUGGUUAGCUAGAGUCUUGUAGAGGGGGUAGAAUUCCAUGUGUAGCGGUGAAAUGCGUAGAGAUGUGGAGGAAUACCGGUGGCGAAGGCGGCCCCUGGACAAAGACUGACGCUCAUGUGCGAAAGCGUGGGGAGCAAACGAGGAUUAGAUACC